rnacentral:rRNA from 1 species
GACGAACGCUGGCGGCGUGCCUAAUACAUGCAAGUAGAACGCAGUUGCGAACGGGUGAGUAACGCGUCGGUAACUGCCUGGUAGCGGGGGAUAACUAUUGGUAACGAUAGCUAAUACCGCAUACUACCAGAUGGACCUUCGUUGUAUUAGCUAGUUGGUGGGGUAACGGCUCACCAAGGCAACGAUACAUAGCCGACCCGGUAAGGUGGUCGGGCAAAAUGGGACUGGGAACCGGGCCAGAACUCUACGGGAGGGAGCAGGAGGGGAUCUUCGGAAAUGGGGGGAACCCUGACUGAGCAACGGCGCGGGAGGGGAGAAGGGUUUCGGAUUGUAAAGCUCUGUUGUUAAGGAAGCGGUACUUAAAGAGAAAGGGACGGCUAACUACGUGCCAGCAGCCGCGGUAAUUC